CCUACGGGAGGCUGCAGUGAGGAAUAUUGGUCAAUGGCCGGAAGGCUGAACCAGCCAAGCCGCGUGAAGGACGAAGGUGCCAAGCAUUGUAAACUUCUUUUGUCAAGGGACAAAAUCAGGCUCGAGAGCCUGACCGAAGGUACUUGAAGAAAAAGCAUCGGCUAACUCCGUGCCAGCAGCCGCGGUAAUACGGAGGAUGCGAGCGUUAUCCGGAUUUAUUGGGUUUAAAGGGGGCGUAGGCGGACUGUUAGGUCAGCGGUAAAAGCCCGGGGCUCAACCCCGGCGCGCCGGGGAAACUGGGUGGCUUGAGAUGGCGAGAGGUAUGCGGAAUGCGCGGUGUAGCGGUGAAAUGCUUAGAUAU
rnacentral:rRNA from 1 species